UUUGAACGUUAUAUCGCAGUAAGUGGGUACAACUUCGGUGACGUAACCCUCUAUUCUUGAAUUUUCCGUACUGGUUGUCUGCAGUAGGCUUUCAACGAGGUCGACCACUUUCAAACCCUCUUAGUCUUCUGUAAACUCUUCCAUUAACAUGGAGGCUGCCGCUAAUACCAUGGCCUUCGUAUCCAUUUUUUUCGUUUACAGUUUGUUUAGAACGGUGUUCAAAAAUCGUUCAAAAUUAAUUGUUUAAUGUCAACGCGUUCGUUGCGAACGUUCGCCUAUGUUCGCUGAACUUGAACGCACCUCUGGUUUUGGUUCAUUAAAACUACCUUCAACUACUAAUGACUCGACAUCAUUAUGUCACCGGCGAGGUCGUUACAGUACUCGUUAAAAAAUAACGCUUAGUUUUGUACUCUAAAAAAUAACGCUUAGGAGGUGGGGCAUUGGAGGAAGGCGGGAUGAUUUGAAUGUGCUGUAAUUCUCAAAUGCAACAAAGGGACUCCGUUCCUCUAUCUGUGCAGCAGCCAUUCACCAAGAAACGGAAGGCCCUAGGCCAAGAGGAGCAGCACCGGUUAGCUACAGAGGUAUGAGAUACCAUUCUGAGUCAUGCCAAGGAGAGGUUCUCUUUCACCAAGCACCUCAUCAGUGCCACUCUGCUGCAAGGAGACUUGUUCCCCCAACACAGAGUAAAGUUCCCCGAUUCAGCGCUGGAAACCGCUGUGGAAGCCUACCCCACACUGGACAAGGCCAAACUGAAGACAGAAUUGUCCCUGGUCUAUGAAAAUGAAGAGUUCAAGGCUUGCAGUGGCGCACUGGCUCUCUUCCAGGUUUUCAUGGAAAACAACCUUUAGGACACAUUCAGCGAGACUGUAAGUCUUUUAAAGAUUCUCAUCACCACACCGAUUACCACAGCAGAAUCAGUGAGGUGCUUCUCUACUUUAAAGAGGAUAAAAACAUUCCUCAGGAACACCAUGGCACAAGACCGCCUGAACGCAGUGGCUAUGCUCUCCAUGGAGAAAAACCUGAUACAGAACAUUCCUGACUUUAACACCAAAGUCAUUGAGAAGUUUGCCACUCAGAAAGACAGAAGAGCAAAGUUCAUGUACAAAUAAGAGCACUCACUCCCUCACACACGUACUCUGAAACUAACUCACACACACUCUCAAAUUCACUCACUCACACACUUUCAAACUCACUCACUCACUCACAAACACUCACUCACAAACUCACUCACACACUCUCAAACUCCCUCACUCACUCACAAACACACUCACUCACACACUCUCUCACUCACUCUCACAAAUAAACAAACAAACACACUCACUCACUCACAAACACACUCACACAUAUACUCACUCACUCACUCACUCACUCAUACAACUCGGUAUUUACACACAGUCCCCAGGUUUCAAGGGAGUGAGACAUAAAUGCUGAUUAGUACAUAAAAUGUAAUUGGAACAUUUUAUGUUCCUAUACCAGUUUUUCUGUGUAUAGUGAACUUUAAUCAUCCACCUGUAGAUAUUACAAUAAUAUACAAUCAUAUUGUAACUAGGUACUGAGAGUAUUCACUAAUAUAUUUAAUCCAAUUGUUACAUUUUAUCUUCCUAUGACACCGUUUUUCUUUGUAUAUAGUUAUUUUUAAUCAUCCACUUGUAAAUGUCUCUCAAGAACUUGAAUUUUGUAUUAAUAGUAUUCACUAAUAUUCAUGUCAUAUCAUUGUCAUUAUCU
ensembl:lncRNA